GGGUCGGUGGUCUAGUGGCUAUGACGCCAAAGCAAUAAAGCUGCGGAACGCUUACAACGUGGAGAUCGGCGGUUCGAAUCCGCCCCGGCCCA
rnacentral:tRNA from 1 species